CGAAGUUACUCGGUCUAUUCGGUCGUCUCAUAGAACCCUAAUACGCGCGGAGAGCUUUUUCAAAUGCGAUCAUUGCGUCUCUUCGAGUACUGAGGGAAGAGAAAAGAGCUUCGUUCCAGUUUCGAUCGAUCGUGGAGAAUGCCGUGCUUUCCUCAACCUGGUGAAGUCACCAUAUGCGAGAUUAAUCGCGAUUUGAUUACUGCGGAAAAUCUCUCUAACGAGCGAGCCAAGGAGACCUACGGCAAAGUUCUCGGAAUUGUAUUCAGUCCUAUUCCUUUUCAACCGGAUCUUCUUCUGCCCAAUCAAGAGCAAGUUCCAGAACAAGAACAUAGUGUUGCCAUUUCAAGAAGUGUUCUGCAUGGUUUGAAGGCGAGCAUAACUGAUUCCUUCAAGCGCAUUUUCUUUCCCAAUGAUUUGAAUAUGUUAACAGAAGUUGAUAUUCAAGAAGUUUGUUGGCAUCCACAUAAGCACUGUCUAGCAUUUAUAUCUGCACCAAAUCAAGUUACAAUACGUGAUUAUGAGGAUCCAGAUGGUAAAGAUCCAUGCAUUUUGACCAGCGAAUAUCAAAGAGAUAUUAUAACACUUGAAUGGAGGCCUAACAGUGGCAAGAUGCUCUCUGUUGCAUGCAAGGGUGGAAUAUGCAUUUGGUCAGCAUCUUAUCCAGGUAAUGCAGCACCUGUGAGAUCUGGAAAUACGGCAUCCCUUGGUACUGUUUCUAGAGGCUCUGGUGUUCGUUGGAUCCUUGUUGACUUUCUUCGAAGCCCAAAUGGUGAACAAAUAAGUGCACUUUGUUGGGAUCCUAACGGAAGAUAUUUGGCAUCGGCCUCAUGUGAGAGUUCAUCAUUUACGAUAUGGGAUGUUUCUCAAGGUGUUGGAACUCCUAUUCGACGUGGAUUAGGCAGCAUAUCAAUGCUUAAAUGGUCACCAAGUGGAGAUUACUUUUUGACCACAAAAUUUGAUGGAACAUUUUACCUGUGGGAAACCAACACAUGGACAUCAGAACCUUGGUCUUCAACUAGUGGAUAUGUUACUGGAGCUACUUGGGAUCCAGAAGGGCGUAUGAUACUGGUUUCAUUCUCUAACUCAGUUACAUUAGGUUCAAUCCACUUUGCAGCAAAGCCUCCUUCACUAGAUGCUCACCUGUUACCAGUUGAAUUGCCAGAAAUUUCCUCUCUGACUGGCAGCCGGUGCAUUGAAAAAAUAGCUUUGGAUGCCUCUGGAGAGCGAUUGGCAUUGUCAUACAAAGGUGGUGAUGAGAUGUACAGUGGUCUUGUUGCAGUGUAUGACGUUAGAAGGGCACCACUUGUCUCAGCAUCAUUAGUCGGGUUCAUUAGAGGGCCUGGAGAGAAGCCAAAACCACUUGCAUUUGCUUUUCAUAACAAAUUCAAACAGGGACCUCUUCUGUCUGUGUGUUGGAGCAGUGGCUGGUGUUGCACAUACCCCCUCUUAUUUCGGUCGCAUGUACUUCCUUAACUGUGCUGCUUUGCUGGUGGAUUUAUUACCUGUAAUGUAGUUUUCUUGAUGUGGUACCACAGACUGGAUGAUAUGCAGUAUGAUCAAGCAAUUGAUUCCUGUUUUUUCCCCGUUAUGUAUGGGUAUCUUUAAAGAAGGUGAGGACCAUUGCGCGUGCCAUUAUGGGUCUUCAAGACAUGGUUGCCGUGAGUUCAUGAGUAUGGCUUGGAGCAAACUGAGAAAGGGAAGGACAGUUACAAGUCAAAGGGAAUUUAUAUGUAUGUUGUGUAUAUCAGAUCUGUUACAGGAGAGCGAUUUGACAUUCUUAAUUUUGACAGCCAUUGCUACCAGCUGUUAGUUGCCCUUUGAGUGGCUCUAAGAACAAACUCCUACCUUUGAGAGGGUUCAUUUAGAUUGUCUAUAAUAAGAACAACUAAUAAUCGAUCUUUGUUGUUCAACAUUUUAAAUGCAAAAAGUAUGCUUUUAUGGAGCAGCAGCAUUAAGGAGUUCACGAAAGUGAGGAAUUUGAAGCUCGGCACCAAUUGAAAAUAGCUUUUGAUUUUGGCCAACAACGUUGUCUGGAUUGAAGGACAUAGCGGAUAUUUUAUAGGCGACCAGAGCUUGAGCCAUUUAGCCUGGAAGGGGAUGUUUUGUACGCUAUCAGAGCUCAAGUCAUUUAGGCUGUAAGAUACAAAUGGAUCCUACUAGUUUCGUGAUAAAUUGUCUCAA